rnacentral:rRNA from 1 species
GAACGACUCUCGGCAACGGAUAUCUCGGCUCUUGCAUCGAUGAAGAACGUAGCGAAAUGCGAUACUUGGUGUGAAUUGCAGAAUCCCGUGAACCAUCGAGUCUUUGAACGCAAGUUGCGCCCGAUGCCUUCUGGCCGAGGGCACGCCUGCCUGGGCGUCACGC